GGCUGAGCUGGUGAGCCCAGCGUCUCGUUGUAGCGCUGCCGUAGCGUUUUUGGAGGAGCACUUUACCGUUGGCCAGGGACCGCUGAGGCUGCAGAGAUGGACCCCAGGUUCUGCCAGGUGCUCUUCGUCUGAACUCUGUGGAGAUAAUGACGUCACAUCUCCCUUGCGGAGGUCCUGGUCAGAAGAUGCGAUGGAGAGGAGAUGGACACCGUUGCCCAACAACCCUCUUCAGGAGGCAUAGUGACAAACACGCCAUUGGCCAUCGCCUGGCAACCAGACCUAGGGAUGCCAUGUUAUUCUUAUUAAAUGUAUCACCCUUUCAAUUCAUAGAAAUGAUAAAAACACACAUUUAUGAUUUUUU